GACGAACGCUGGCGGCGUGCUUAACACAUGCAAGUCGAACGGAAAGGCCCUGCUUUUGUGGGGUGCUCGAGUGGCGAACGGGUGAGUAACACGUGAGUAACCUGCCCUUGACUUUGGGAUAACUUCAGGAAACUGGGGCUAAUACCGGAUAGGAGCUCCUGCUGCAUGGUGGGGGUUGGAAAGUUUCGGCGGUUGGGGAUGGACUCGCGGCUUAUCAGCUUGUUGGUGGGGUAGUGGCUUACCAAGGCUUUGACGGGUAGCCGGCCUGAGAGGGUGACCGGCCACAUUGGGACUGAGAUACGGCCCAGACUCCUACGGGAGGCAGCAGUGGGGAAUAUUGCACAAUGGGCGGAAGCCUGAUGCAGCAACGCCGCGUGCGGGAUGACGGCCUUCGGGUUGUAAACCGCUUUCGCCUGUGACGAAGCGUGAGUGACGGUAAUGGGUAAAGAAGCACCGGCUAACUACGUGCCAGCAGCCGCGGUGAUACGUAGGGUGCGAGCGUUGUCCGGAUUUAUUGGGCGUAAAGGGCUCGUAGGUGGUUGAUCGCGUCGGAAGUGUAAUCUUGGGGCUUAACCCUGAGCGUGCUUUCGAUACGGGUUGACUUGAGGAAGGUAGGGGAGAAUGGAAUUCCUGGUGGAGCGGUGGAAUGCGCAGAUAUCAGGAGGAACACCAGUGGCGAAGGCGGUUCUCUGGGCCUUUCCUGACGCUGAGGAGCGAAAGCGUGGGGAGCGAACAGGCUUAGAUACCCUGGUAGUCCACGCUGUAAACGGUGGGUACUAGGUGUGGGGUCCAUUCCACGGGUUCCGUGCCGUAGCUAACGCUUUAAGUACCCCGCCUGGGGAGUACGGCCGCAAGGCUAAAACUCAAAGGAAUUGACGGGGCCCCGCACUAGCGGCGGAGCAUGCGGAUUAAUUCGAUGCAACGCGUAGAACCUUACCUGGGUUUGACAUGGAUCGGGAGUGCUCAGAGAUGGGUGUGCCUCUUUUGGGGUCGGUUCACAGGUGGUGCAUGGCUGUCGUCAGCUCGUGUCGUGAGAUGUUGGGUUAAGUCCCGCAACGAGCGCAACCCUUGUUCACUGUUGCCAGCACGUUAUGGUGGGGACUCAGUGGAGACCGCCGGGGUCAACUCGGAGGAAGGUGGGGAUGACGUCAAGUCAUCAUGCCCCUUAUGUCCAGGGCUUCACGCAUGCUACAAUGGCUGGUACAGAGAGUGGCGAGCCUGUGAGGGUGAGCGAAUCUCGGAAAGCCGGUCUCAGUUCGGAUUGGGGUCUGCAACUCGACCUCAUGAAGUCGGAGUCGCUAGUAAUCGCAGAUCAGCAACGCUGCGGUGGAUACGUUCCCGGGGCU
rnacentral:rRNA from 1 species